rnacentral:lncRNA from 1 species
UUCUAAACAUCUCUCGCUUAUCAACUUAAUAUUGGUUUGGUUGAGGGUUUUAGGUCUCAUCACAUAUAAAUAUUCAUUUUAAUCUCUAUUAAAACAAUUUUGGUCCUCUUACAACUAUUGGUCCAUUUGAUUGUUUUAGUUGUAUAUAAUACUCCCACUAUGCUUAUAAAACGAUUUUUAAAGCAAGAGUAUAUGACUACUAACAUAAACUUUGCAUUCAUUUGAUGGACUAUAUAGUUGCCUUAGGGCCUUA